rnacentral:tRNA from 1 species
GUAGUGGUGGUUCAGUGGCAGAAUUCUCACCUUUCUUGUGGGAGACCCCGGUUCGAUUCCUGGCCAGUGUA